rnacentral:rRNA from 1 species
UACGUAGGGUGCAAGCGUUGUCCGGAAUUAUUGGGCGUAAAGAGCUCGUAGGCGGCUUGUCGCGUCGGCUGUGAAAACUCGGGGCUCAACCCCGAGCCUGCAGUCGAUACGGGCAGCGUGGAGUACUGCAGGGGAGACUGGAAUUCCUGGUGUAGCGGUGGAAUGCGCAGAUAUCAGGAGGAACACCGGUGGCGAAGGCGGGUCUCUGGGCAGUAACUGACGCUGAGGAGCGAAAGCGUGGGGAGCGAACAGG